rnacentral:lncRNA from 1 species
UCAGUGGGGAGGUCAGUGCACCUCCUGGCUGCCCUGCUUCCCUCUUGUAAUUAAAGUAUGGAUUGUUUGAAAAAGAAAAGUCUUCUGAAGAAAUUAGUAUACUUGUAAAUAGACUAAUAGUGGUCUGACUAAUUUAGCUUUUGUCCCCCUUUUAGUAAGUAUUAAUACUAAAUGGAAUGCUUAUGAAUGCUAAACUAGACAGUGCUUGGCUCUGCAGAGUAUGUUUUGACCCUUUAACUUUGGGAGGCAGUAACAAGUUGAGUAUUCAUUCGUUAGGGUGAGAAAGCUGGGAACAUUGAGAACUGAUGAGAUGUCCUUCCUUUUGUUGUAUUGAAAUGAAAGGUAUCUUUACCAAGUCUAAAUUUCUUGUAUAUCCAGCUUAAUGAAAUAAGUACAUUACGUACCUUCUGUGAUAAACAGUUAAGGAUGCAAAGUUGAGUAAAAAUGUGGUCAUACUCUGAAGGAGCAGAGAAGGGGGUCUAAUUUAUGGGACACGUAG